AGGAUGAACGCUGGCGGCGUGCUUAACACAUGCAAGUCGAACGGUGAAGCAGGAGCUUGCUCUUGUGGAUCAGUGGCGAACGGGUGAGUAACACGUGAGUAACCUGCCCUUGACUCUGGGAUAAGCACUGGAAACGGUGUCUAAUACCGGAUACGACCUCCGAAGGCAUCUUCUGGAGGUGGAAAGAAUUUCGGUCAAGGAUGGACUCGCGGCCUAUCAGCUAGUUGGUGAGGUAAUGGCCCACCAAGGCGACGACGGGUAGCCGGCCUGAGAGGGUGACCGGCCACACUGGGACUGAGACACGGCCCAGACUCCUACGGGAGGCAGCAGUGGGGAAUAUUGCACAAUGGGCGCAAGCCUGAUGCAGCAACGCCGCGUGAGGGACGACGGCCUUCGGGUUGUAACCUCUUUAGUAGGGAAGAAGCGAAAGUGACGGUACCUGCAGAAAAGCACCGGCUAACUACGCGCCAGCGCCGCGGU
rnacentral:rRNA from 1 species